rnacentral:rRNA from 1 species
AUUGAACGCUGGCGGCAGGCCUAACACAUGCAAGUCGAGCGGAUCGGCGGACGGGUGCGUGAUGCCUAUGAAUGUGCCUGUUAGUGGGGGAUAACGUCAGGAAACGGGCGCUAAUACCGCAUACUCUCAGCUGAGGCUGGGUCGGAUUAGCUAGUGGGUGGGGUAAAGGCCUACCAAGGCGACGAUCCGUAACUGGUCUGAGAGGAUGAUCAGUCACACCGGAACUGAGACACGGUCCAGACUCCUACGGGAGGCAGCAGUGGGGAAUAUUGGACAAUGGGCGAAAGCCUGAUCCAGCCAUGCCGCGUGAGUGAAGAAGGUCUUCGGAUUGUAAAGUACUUUAAGUUGGGAGGCGUUACUAACAGAAUAAGCACCGGCUAACUCCGUGCCAGCAGCCGCGGUAAUAC